rnacentral:rRNA from 1 species
CGAUUCUGGCUCAGAUUGAACGCUGGCGGCGUGCUUAACACAUGCAAGUCGCGCGUGAAAGGACUUCGGUCCGAGUAAAGCGGCGCACGGGUGAGUAACGCGUGGAUGAUCUACCCAUGAGUUAGGAAUAACGGCUGGAAACGGUCGCUAAUACCAAAUACGCUCCGAUUUCAACUUCGGGGGAAAGGUGGCCUCUGCUUGCAAGCUACUGCUCAUGGAUGAGUCCGCGUCCCAUUAGCUGGUUGGUGGGGUAACGGCCCACCAAGGCGACGAUGGGUAGCCGGUCUGAGAGGAUGACCGGCCACACUGGGACUGGAACACGGCCCAGACUCCUACGGGAGGCAGCAGUGGGGAAUAUUGCGCAAUGGGCGAAAGCCUGACGCAGCGACGCCGCGUGAGGGGAAUGAAGGUCCUCGGAUCGUAAACCUCUGUCAGGAGGGAAGAACCGCCACGGUGCUAAUCAGCCGUGGUCUGACGGUACCUCCAAAGGAAGCACCGGCUAACUCCGUGCCAGCCGCGGC